rnacentral:rRNA from 1 species
UACGAAGGGGGGCUAGCGUUGUUCGGAAUUACUGGGCGUAAAGCGCACGUAGGCGGGUUGUUAAGUCAGGGGUGAAAUCCUGGAGCUCAACUCCAGAACUGCCUUUGAUACUGGCAACCUAGAGACUGGAAGAGGUUAGUGGAAUUCCCAGUGUAGAGGUGAAAUUCGUAGAUAUUCGCAAGAACACCAGUGGCGAAGGCGGCUCACUGGCCCGGUACUGACGCUGAGGUGCGAAAGCGUGGGGAGCAAACAGG